GGGCCCUACGGGACGCAGCAGUGAGGAAUAUUGGUCAAUGGGCUUACGCCUGAACCAGCCAAGUCGCGUGAGGGAAGACUGCCCUAUGGGUUGUAAACCUCUUUUGUCAGGGAGCAAAGGCGUCCACGAGUGGACGAAAGGAGAGUACCUGAAGAAAAAGCAUCGGCUAACUCCGUGCCAGCAGCCGCGGUAAUACGGAGGAUGCGAGCGUUAUCCGGAUUUAUUGGGUUUAAAGGGUGCGUAGGCGGAGUGUCAAGUCAGCGGUAAAAUUUCGGGGCUCAACCCCGUCGUGCCGUUGAAACUGG
rnacentral:rRNA from 1 species